rnacentral:rRNA from 1 species
GACGAACGCUGGCGGCGUGCUUAACACAUGCAAGUCGAACGGAAAGGCCCUGCUUUUGUGGGGUGCUCGAGUGGCGAACGGGUGAGUAACACGUGAGUAACCUGCCCUUGACUUUGGGAUAACUUCAGGAAACUGGGGCUAAAACCGGAUAGGAGCUCCGGCGGCAGGGGGGGGGUGGGAAAGUUUGGGCGGUGGGGGUUGGACUCGCGGCUUAUCAGCUUGUUGGUGGGGUAGUGGCUUACCAAGGCUUUGACGGGUAGCCGGCCUGAGAGGGUGACCGGCCACAUUGGGACUGAGAUACGGCCCAGACUCCUACGGGAGGCAGCAGUGGGGAAUAUUGCACAAUGGGCGGAAGCCUGAUGCAGCAACGCCGCGUGCGGGAUGACGGCCUUCGGGUUGUAAACCGCUUUCGCCUGUGACGAAGCGUGAGUGACGGUAAUGGGUAAAGAAGCACCGGCUAACUACGUG